CGUAGGUGGCAAGCGUUGUCCGGAUUUACUGGGCGUAAAGGGUGCGUAGGUGGUCUUGUAAGUCAGUGGUGAAAUACGGCAGCUCAACUGUCGAGGUGCCAUUGAUACUGCAAGACUUGAGUACAGACGAGGUAGGCGGAAUUGACGGUGUAGCGGUGAAAUGCUUAGAUAUCGUCAAGAACACCGAUAGCGAAGGCAGCUUACUAGACUGUAACUGACACUGAGGCACGAAAGUGUGGGGAUCAAACAGGAUUAGAUACCCUGGUAGUCCACACUGUAAACGAUGAUUACUCGAUGUUGGCGAUACACAGCCAGCGUCUUAGCGAAAGCGAUAAGUAAUCCACCUGGGGAGUACGCCCGCAAGGGUG
rnacentral:rRNA from 1 species